rnacentral:tRNA from 1 species
UGGGGGGUAAGUUAAGUUUAAACUGUGGGGUUCAUGUCCCCUUAUUAUGGGCUGCCAUCCCCCCUU